rnacentral:piRNA from 1 species
CAGAUUCUCUCUUCGGAACGCCUCCGAGUC